AAAAUGAAUUUAUUUCAAAUUCCAACAAAAUGAUUCAAUUACAUUCAUAUUGCAAUUUUUCUACUCAAGCCUACACUAUUACAUAAAGUGGAAGCAAUACAUAAUUAUAUAUUCAUGCAUACAAAUACAUGCAUUUGUAAAGUACAAUAGAUACACCCCAAAGUCUCCUACUACCCGCCUGCAACACUCCACCUCUAGCCCCAUUUUCCUUUUCAAAUCAAUAGGCCAUACAUAUGGUACAAGAGCUUGUCAAGUCAAGUCAGUCACCCUACAACUACAUCUGUCCCUUCUUCAUACUUAUCAUAGGAGAGGAUAGGAGAGGUAGCUGCCAACCUUCUCCUUUAAACAAAAGCAACUAGCAACUUCCUUCAACUCUUUAUUAUCCCACACUGAAGAAACCCAUGAGAAGAACAAGAAUCUUUCAUCCUUCUCAGCCAACAUUCAAGGUAAAAUCUUGCUAGAAUCUCCUCCCUUUUUUCUCUAUGAUUUAUCCUGCAUUCAUUAAAGAGCAGCUUGACAUCAUUUCAGCAAAUUUUCAUCUGCCUCUCCUUCCACCAAAGACAACGAAUGCAGAUUUGAAAACCAACAUAAGAGAAAAACCAGCAAGUACAGAUCAUUUCAAAAGGUUUCACCUUGAACAACUAUGCCUAUUUCAUUCUACAUAGUAUUUGCACCUAUCAUCGCUAUGCUACGCAUUCAAUGAAUUAUACAUAUAUGUAUGUACAUAAUCAUUUUCAUCAUAUUGCAUAUAUGAGAUAUAUGUGUUUUGAAUAAGAGCUAUUAUUUUCGUUUCUAAACAAGGCAUAACGUUUUAAAGAAAGGAUUUUUUUCUUAUGAGUUUGUUGUCAUAUAUUGUUUCGAGUGGGGGGUAAGAGAGUUACCUCGCUGUGGUGUAGAGUCGAGAGGUGGAAGGAGGAAGGGCACGGCGGCGGUGCCGCUGCUGCCCGGCUACGGUCAGGGAGGAAAAGGGAGAGGCUGGUG
rnacentral:lncRNA from 1 species